AGAUUGAACGCUGGCGGCAGGCCUAACACAUGCAAGUCGAGCGGCAGCACGGGUACUUGUACCUGGUGGCGAGCGGCGGACGGGUGAGUAAUGCCUAGGAAUCUGCCUGAUAGUGGGGGAUAACGUUCGGAAACGGACGCUAAUACCGCAUACGUCCUACGGGAGAAAGUGGGGGAUCUUCGGACCUCACGCUAUCAGAUGAGCCUAGGUCGGAUUAGCUAGUUGGUAGGGUAAAGGCCUACCAAGGCUACGAUCCGUAACUGGUCUGAGAGGAUGAUCAGUCACACUGGAACUGAGACACGGUCCAGACUCCUACGGGAGGCAGCAGUGGGGGAAUAUUGGACAAUGGGCGAAAGCCUGAUCCAGCAAUGCCGCGUGAGUGAUGAAGCCGUUA
rnacentral:rRNA from 1 species